UGUACAGGCAUGCCUUAGUACGGCGAGUGAAGCGGCAAAAGCUCAAAUUUGAAAUCUGGCACCUUCGGUGUCCGAGUUGUAAUUUGAAGAAGGUAACUUUGGAGUUGGCUCUUGUCUAUGUUCCUUGGAACAGGACGUCACAGAGGGUGAGAAUCCCGUGCGAUGAGAUGCCCAAUUCUAUGUAAAGUGCUUUCGAAGAGUCGAGUUGUUUGGGAAUGCAGCUCUAAGUGGGUGGUAAAUUCCAUCUAAAGCUAAAUAUUGGCGAGAGACCGAUAGCGAACAAGUACAGUGAUGGAAAGAUGAAAAGAACUUUGAAAAGAGAGUGAAAAAGUACGUGAAAUUGUUGAAAGGGAAGGGCUUGAGAUCAGACUUGGUAUUUUGCGAUCCUUUCCUUCUUGGUUGGGUUCCUCGCAGCUUACUGGGCCAGCAUCGGUUUGGAUGGUAGGAUAAUGACUAAGGAAUGUGGCUCUACUUCGGUGGAGUGUUAUAGCCUUGGUUGAUACUGCCUGUCUAGACCGAGGACUGCGUCUUUUGACUAGGAUGUUGGCAUAAUGAUCUUAAGCCACCCGUCUUG
rnacentral:rRNA from 1 species